rnacentral:rRNA from 1 species
AUACGUAGGUGGCGAGCGUUGUCCGGAAUUACUGGGUGUAAAGGGCGUGUAGGCGGGACUGCAAGUCAGAUGUGAAAUAUCACGGCUCAACUGUGGGGGUGCAUCUGAAACUGUAGUUCUUGAGUACUGGAGAGGGAAGCGGAAUUCCUAGUGUAGCGGUGAAAUGCGUAGAUAUUAGGAGGAACACCAGUGGCGAAGGCGGCUUCCUGGACAGAGACUGACGCUGAGGCGCGAAAGCGUGGGGAGCGAACAGGAUUAGAUACCCUGGUAGUCCACGCUGUAAACGAUGGAUACUAGGUGUAGGGGGUAUCGACCCCUUCUGUGCCGGAGUUAACACAAUAAGUAUCCCACCUGGGGAGUACGGCCGCAAGGUUGAA